AUACGUAGGGGGCGAGCGUUGUCCGGAAUGACUGGGCGUAAAGGGUACGUAGGCGGCUGAGUAAGUCAGAUGUGAAAGGUUAGGGCUUAACCCUAGUGAGCAUUUGAAACUGCUUAGCUUGAGUCGAGGAGAGGAAAGUGGAAUUCCUGGUGUAGCGGUGAAAUGCGUAGAUAUCAGGAGGAAUACCAGUGGCGAAGGCGACUUUCUGGCCUUAGACUGACGCUGAGGUACGAAAGCGUGGGGAGCAAACAGGAUUAGAUACCCUGGUAGUCCACGCUGUAAACGAUGAGUGCUAGGUGUCGGGACGGAAGUUUCGGUGCCGAAGUUAACACAUUAAGCACUCCGCCUGGGGAGUACGGUCGCAAGACUGAA
rnacentral:rRNA from 1 species